rnacentral:rRNA from 1 species
UGGGGAAUUUUGGACAAUGGGCGAAAGCCUGAUCCAGCAAUGCCGCGUGUGUGAAGAAGGCCUUCGGGUUGUAAAGCACUUUUGUCCGGAAAGAAAUCCUUGGCUCUAAUACAGUCGGGGGAUGACGGUACCGGAAGAAUAAGCACCGGCUAACUACGUGCCAGCAGCCGCGGUAAUACGUAGGGUGCAAGCGUUAAUCGGAAUUACUGGGCGUAAGCGUGCGCAGGCGGUUUGCUAAGACCGAUGUGAAAUCCCCGGGCUCAACCUGGGAACUGCAUUGGUGACUGGCAGGCUAGAGUAUGGCAGAGGGGGGUUAGAAUUGCCACGUGUAGCAGUCNAAAUGCGUAGAGAUGUGGAGGAAUACCGAUGGCGAAGGCAGCCCCCUGGGCCAAUACUGACGCUCAUGCACGAAAG